GAAGGGGCCAUAGUUCAAUGGGAGAGCCUCUGCCUUGAAUGCAAAAGAUCCCAGGUUCAGUCCCCGGCAUCUUCA